CUGCCACUCUUACAGAUAUAACCGAAUUACUUCCAUUGCAAAGUCAUUUUCAUUAUACCAUUAAGCCUAUGAAAAGGCCAGACUGCUGGCCGAACAAACAUCUCAAAAAACACUUGGUACAUUGGUUCCAUAGCAGUUACACUGAUUUUAGCACUUUUAUUUUACAAGUUAGCCAACCAUGCAAAAAGCAGCAAUUAUAAUUAUUAAAUAGAAGAAAAAAUUGAAUUACAUUUGUUAGUUGAGACAGAGCUUCGCCGAGUAAACACCAUGUAACGGGCGUUGUGAGCUUUGCUGUGCUCAUUCCAUUUUCCAGAGUUUUGCAUCUGCCUCGGACGUGGCGGUAUUUGAUGGCAUCGACUGUCUGCACAUGCAGCUCUCGUGUUAGACUUGCAUUUUGAUUUUGAUUUUGCCUCGUUUUGCCAGGCAAACAAUGAACCUUUUCGUCACGUGACCACGCCCGAGACGUGCAUUGGAUUUUGAUUAUAAAAUAACUGUUAAAUCAAACACCUGCUGCCGUAUAACCUUGCCUUGUCGUCCCACCUGGACGAAAGCGACCCAAAAAUUAAACCAAACAUUGAGCGUACGGAAUGCAAAGCAAAGCAAAUCAUCAGCCAAUUAAUCUCUCUAUUGUCAAAGACUCAGAGCUGGAUGGAAGACUACUCAAGUGCGAGCACUCAUUACAUAUUCCUUUUUGAUUUGAGGCGAAUUUUGAAGAUAACUCUUCUGUUCCUAUGAGGCAAAUUCUACAAUUGGAAUCUAUCUAAAUUUAGUUUUUGCCUAUUUUUAUAUUGUUUUUAGUUGGAAAUUUAAGUGUGUUUAAAAAUGCAGGCACAAAUAAAAUAUGUUUGAACACCA